rnacentral:tRNA from 1 species
UCCCUGGUGGCUCAAAUGGUAAAGCGUCUGCUUAAAAUGCGGGAGACCCACGUUCAAUCCCUGGCUCGGGAA